rnacentral:rRNA from 1 species
GAUGAACGCUAGCGGCAGGCUUAAUACAUGCAAAGUCGAGGGCAGCGCAGUGUAGCAAUACAUGGGCGGCGACCGGCAAAACGGGUGCGGAACACGUACGCAACCUUCCUUCAAGUGGGAAUAGCUUUCGGAAACGAAAAUUAAUACCCCGUAAUACGGUUGAGAUGGCAUCAUCUUAUCGUUAUAGAUCCGUCGCUUGAAGAUGGGCGUGCGCCUGAUUAGGUAGUUGGCGGGGUAAUGGCCCACCAAGCCUACGAUCAGUAACUGGUGUGAGAGCACGACCAGUCACACGGGCACUGAGACACGGGCCCGACUCCUACGGGAGGCAGCAGUAAGGAAUAUUGGUCAAUGGACGCAAGUCUGAACCAGCCAUGCCGCGUGGAGGAUGAAGGUCCUCUGGAUUGUAAACUUCUUUUAUCGGAGAAGAAACCCUAGCAUUCUUGUUGGGUGACGG